rnacentral:snRNA from 1 species
UGCUUUGCGCAGUGGCAGUAUCGUAACCAAUGAGAUUUAACCGAGGUGUGAUUAUUGCUAGUUGAAAACUUUUCCCAAUACCCCGCCUGGACGACUUGAAAUAUAGUCGGCCAUGGCAAUUUUUGUUAGCCCAAUUAUGGG